GACGAACGCUGGCGGCGUGCUUAACACAUGCAAGUCGAACGGAAAGGCUCUGCUUUUGUGGGGUGCUCGAGUGGCGAACGGGUGGGUAACACGUGAGUAACCUGCCCUUGAUUUUGGGAUAACUUCAGGAAACUGGGGCUAAUAUCGGAUAGGAGCUCCUGCUGCAUGGUGGGGGUUGGAAAGUUACGGCGGUUGGGGAUGGACUCGCGGCUUAUCAGCUUGUUGGUGGGGUAGUGGCUUACCAAGGCUUUGACGGGUAGCCGGCCUGAGAGGGUGACCGGCCACAUUGGGACUGGGAUGCGGCCCAGACUCCUACGGGAGGCAGCAGUGGGGAAUAUUGCACAAUGGGCGGAAGCCUGAUGCAGCAACGCCGCGUGCGGGAUGACGGCCUUCGGGUUGUAAACCGCUUUCGCCUGUGACGAAGCGUGAGUGACGGUAAUGGGUAAAGAAGCACCGGCUAACUACGUG
rnacentral:rRNA from 1 species